UGUGGAUGUAGCUCAAUUGGAUAGAGCGCCUCUUGUGUGGGGAGUUGAGCGCUACUCAAGGAUCAUAACCUGGAGUAUCUCAUGCGGCUGGCCAGACGCUAUCUGGGUUCGAGUCCCAGCGCCACAACCA
rnacentral:tRNA from 1 species